rnacentral:rRNA from 1 species
GACAGGUGCUGCAUGGCUGUCGUCAGCUCGUGUCGUGAGAUGUUGGGUUAAGUCCCGCAACGAGCGCAACCCUUGUCUUUAGUUGCCAGCAUUAGGUUGGGCACUCUAAAGAGACUGCCGGUGUCAAACCGGAGGAAGGUGGGGAUGACGUCAAGUCCUCAUGGCCUUUAUGACCAGGGCUACACACGUACUACAAUGGCAUAUACAAAGGGCGGCGACAUCGCGAGGUGGAGCCAAUCCAGCAAAACUUCCCUCAGUUCAGAUUGCAGGCUGCAACCCGCCUGCAUGAAGUUGGAGUUGCUAGUAAACGCAGGUCAGCCAUACUGCGUUGAAUACGUUCCCGGGGCUU